GAUGAAGAACGUAGCAAAAUGCGAUAAGUAAUGUGAAUUGCAGAAUUCAGUGAAUCAUCGAAUCUUUGAACGCACAUUGCGCCCGCUGGUAUUCCGGCGGGCAUGCCUGUUCGAGCGUCAUUUCAACCCUCAAACCCCCGGGUUUGGUGUUGGGGAUCGGCUCUGCCUCACGGCGGUGCCGCCCCCGAAAUACAUUGGCGGUCUCGCUGCAGCCUCCAUUGCGUAGUAGCUAACACCUCGCAACUGGAACGCGGCGCGGCCAUGCCGUAAAACCCCAACUUCUGAAUGUUGUCCUCGGAUCAGGUAGGAAUACCCGCUGAACUUAAGCAUAUCAAUAAGCGGAGGA
rnacentral:misc_RNA from 1 species